AGAGUUUGAUCCUGGCUCAGGAUGAACGCUAGCGACAGGCUUAACACAUGCAAGUCGAGGGGCAGCAUGAUUUGUAGCAAUACAGAUUGAUGGCGACCGGCGCACGGGUGAGUAACGCGUAUGCAACUUACCUAUCAGAGGGGGAUAGCCCGGCGAAAGUCGGAUUAAUACCCCAUAAAACAGGGGUCCCGCAUGGGAAUAUUUGUUAAAGAUUCAUCGCUGAUAGAUAGGCAUGCGUUCCAUUAGGCAGUUGGCGGGGUAACGGCCCACCAAACCGACGAUGGAUAGGGGUUCUGAGAGGAAGGUCCCCCACAUUGGUACUGAGACACGGACCAAACUCCUACGGGAGGCAGCAGUGAGGAAUAUUGGUCAAUGGCCGAGAGGCUGAACCAGCCAAGUCGCGUGAAGGAAGAAGGAUCUAUGGUUUGUAAACUUCUUUUAUAGGGGAAUAAAGUGGAGGACGUGUCCUUUUUUGUAUGUACCCUAUGAAUAAGCAUCGGCUAACUCCGUGCCAGCAGCCGCGGUAAUACGGAGGAUGCGAGCGUUAUCCGGAUUUAUUGGGUUUAAAGGGUGCGUAGGUGGUGAUUUAAGUCAGCGGUGAAAGUUUGUGGCUCAACCAUAAAAUUGCCGUUGAAACUGGGUUACUUGAGUGUGUUUGAGGUAGGCGGAAUGCGUGGUGUAGCGGUGAAAUGCAUAGAUAUCACGCAGAACUCCGAUUGCGAAGGCAGCUUACUAAACCAUAACUGACACUGAAGCACGAAAGCGUGGGGAUCAAACAGGAUUAGAUACCCUGGUAGUCCACGCAGUAAACGAUGAUCACUAGCUGUUUGCGAUACACUGUAAGCGGCACAGCGAAAGCGUUAAGUGAUCCACCUGGGGAGUACGCCGGCAACGGUGAAACUCAAAGGAAUUGACGGGGGCCCG
rnacentral:rRNA from 1 species